rnacentral:rRNA from 1 species
AGGAUGAACGCUGGCGGCGUGCCUAAUACAUGCAAGUCGAGCGGUAAGGCCUCUUCGGAGGUACACGAGCGGCGGACGGCUGAGUAACGCGUAGGAACCUACCCUAAAGUGAGGGAUAAGCACCAGAAAUGGUGUCUAAUACCGCAUAUGCUCUUCGGAGUAAAGCUACGGCGCUUUGGGAAGGGCCUGCGUAUGAUUAGCUUGUUGGUGAGGUAAAAGCUCACCAAGGCGACGAUCAUUAGCUGGUCUGAGAGGAUGAUCAGCCAGACUGGGACUGAGAACGGCCCAGACUCCUACGGAGGCAGCAGUAGGGAAUAUUCCACAAUGGGCGAAAGCCUGAUGGAGCAACGCCGCGUGCAGGAUGAAGGCCUUCGGGUUGUAAACUGCUUUUAUAUGUGAAGAUUUUGACGGUAGCAUAUGAAUAAGGAUCGGCUAACUCCGUGCCAGCAGCCGC